rnacentral:rRNA from 1 species
GGAUUAGAUACCCUGGUAGUCCACGCCCUAAACGAUGUGUGCUCGGUGUUGGGAUUUUCAAUUGAUCCCAGUGCCUUAGCUAACGCGGUAAGCACACCGCCUGGGGAGUACGGCCGCAAGGCUAAAACUCAAAGGAAUAGACGGGGACCCACACAAGCGGUGGAGCAUGGGGUUUAAUUCGAUGAUAAGCGGAGCACCUCACCUAGGCUUGACAUCCCGAGAAGAUUCUAGAAAUAGAAUUGUGCCUUUCGGAACUCGGUGACAGGUGGUGCACGGUCGUCGUCAGCUCGUGCCG